GAUGAAGAACGUAGCGAAAUGCGAUAAGUAAUGUGAAUUGCAGAAUUCAGUGAAUCAUCGAAUCUUUGAACGCACAUUGCGCCCGCCAGUAUUCUGGCGGGCAUGCCUGUCUGAGCGUCAUUUCAACCCUCAUGCCCCUAGGGCGUGGUGUUGGGGAUCGGCCAAAGCCCGCGAGGGACGGCCGGCCCCUAAAUCUAGUGGCGAACCCGUCGUGGCCUCCUCUGCGAAGUAGUGAUAUUCCGCAUCGGAGAGCGAUGAGCCCCUGCCGUUAAACCCCCAACUUUCCAAGGUUGACCUCAGAUCAGGUAGGAAUACCCGCUGAACUUAAGCAUAUCAAUAAGCGGAGGA
rnacentral:misc_RNA from 1 species